AGUGGUCUGAUCUGGACCUGAGCUCAGACCUGCACAGAGUCCAGACCCACUUCUUUCUGCUCUGUUUCCUCUGCUGCAGGAAGCAGGACACACAUUCCAGUCUCUGAGACUCAGAGUGUGUGUUCAGAGUGUGUGUUCAGGGAGUGUGUUCAGAGUGUGUGUUCAGAGAGUGUGUUCAGAGUGUGUGUUCAGAGAGUGUGUUCAGAGAGUGUGUUCAGAGAGUGUGUUCAGAGUGUGUGUUCAGAGUGUGUGUUCAGAGUGUGUGUUCAGAGAGUGUGUUCAGAGUGUGUGUUCAGAGUGUGUGUUCAGAGAGUGU